rnacentral:rRNA from 1 species
ACAAUGGGGGCAACCCUGAUCCAGCCAUGCCGCGUGUGUGAAGAAGGCCUUUUGGUUGUAAAGCACUUUAAGCAGGGAGGAGAGGCUAAUGGUUAAUACCCAUUAGAUUAGACGUUACCUGCAGAAUAAGCACCGGCUAACUCUGUGCCAGCAGCCGCGGUAAUACAGAGGGUGCGAGCGUUAAUCGGAAUUACUGGGCGUAAAGCGAGUGUAGGUGGCUCAUUAAGUCACAUGUGAAAUCCCCGGGCUUAACCUGGGAACUGCAUGUGAUACUGGUGGUGCUAGAAUAUGUGAGAGGGAAGUAGAAUUCCAGGUGUAGCGGUGAAAUGCGUAGAGAUCUGGAGGAAUACCGAUGGCGAAGGCAGCUUCCUGGCAUAAUAUUGACACUGAGAUUCGA